rnacentral:rRNA from 1 species
GGCCGCAGUAUUUUAACUGUGCAAAGGUAGCAUAAUCAUUAGUCUUUUAAUUGAAGGCUAGUAUGAAUGGUUGGACGAAAUAUUAACUGUUUCAUAUAAAUUUUUAUUAGAAUUUUAUUUUUUAGUUAAAAAGCUAAAAUAUAAUUAAAAGACGAGAAGACCCUAUAAAUCUUUAUAUUAAUUUUAUUAUUAUUCUUUAGAUAAUUUUUUUAUAAUAAUUAAUAAUAUUUUAUUGGGGUGAUAUUAAAAUUUAUUUAACUUUUAAUUAAUUUUUACAUUAAUUUAUGAUUAUUUGAUCCAUUAUUAAUGAUUAAAAAUUUAAGUUACUUUAGGGAUAACAGCGUAAUUUUUUUGAAGAGUUCUUAUCAAUAAAAAAGAUUGCGACCUCGAUGUUGGAUU